rnacentral:rRNA from 1 species
UCAGACCGGAGAAAUCCAGGUCAGUUUCUAUCUAUAUUUGAGUUUCUUCUAGUACGAAAGGACCAAAGAAACGCGGCCUAUAUUUCUACAAGCCGCAGCUACCAAAUUAUGACCCAGACUCAAUAAUAUAGUAGCCUAAAAAAAGACUCAAGACAAGAGUUG